rnacentral:rRNA from 1 species
GAUGAACGCUAGCGGCAGGCUUAGCACAUGCAAGUCGAGGGGCAGCGCGGGAUAGCAAUAUCCUGGCGGCGACCGGCGGAAGGGUGCGUAACGCGUGAGCGACAUGCCCGUUGCCCGGGGACAACCGGUGGAAACGCCGACUAAUCCCCGAUGGGAUAUUGUGCCGCAUGGCACGAUAUUGAAAGUUACGGCGGCGACGGAUUGGCUCGCGUCCGAUUAGCUUGUUGGCGGGGUAACGGCCCACCAAGGCUGCGAUCGGUAGGGGUUCUGAGAGGAAGGCCCCCCACAAUGGGACUGAGACACGGCCCAUACUCCUACGGGAGGCAGCAGUGAGGAAUAUUGGUCAAUGGGCGGAAGCCUGAACCAGCCAUGCCGCGUGCGGGAAGGAGGCCCUAUGGGCUGUGAACCGCUUUUGCCUGGGGGCAAUAAGGGCGUAGCGCACGUCCGAUGAGAGUACCAGGCGAAUAAGCAUCGGCUAACUCCGUG